rnacentral:rRNA from 1 species
UACGUAGGGUGCGAGCGUUGUCCGGAAUUACUGGGCGUAAAGAGCUCGUAGGUGGUUUGUCGCGUUGUCCGUGAAAACUCGCAACUCAAUUGUGGGCGUGCGGGCGAUACGGGCAGACUGGAGUACUGCAGGGGAGACUGGAAUUCCUGGUGUAGCGGUGGAAUGCGCAGAUAUCAGGAGGAACACCGGUGGCGAAGGCGGAUCUCUGGGCCAUUACUGACGCUGAGGAGCGAAAGCGUGGGGAGCGAACAGG